UACAGAGGUCUCGAGCGUUAGGCGGAAUCACUGGGCUUAAAGCGUGUGUAGGCGGGUCGUUAAGUACCUUGUGAAAUCCCAUGGCUCAACCAUGGAACUGCUGGGUAUACUGGCGAUCUUGUGCAACCUAGGGGCGAGCGGAACAGAUGGUGGAGCGGUGAAAUGCGUAGAUAUCAUCUGGAACGUCAAUGGUGAAAACAGCUCGCUGGGGGUUUGCAGACGCUGAGACACGAAAGCCAGGGGAGCGAACGGG
rnacentral:rRNA from 1 species